rnacentral:rRNA from 1 species
UACGGGGGGGGCAAGCGUUGUUCGGAAUUACUGGGCGUAAAGGGCUCGUAGGCGGCCAACUAAGUCAGACGUGAAAUCCCUCGGCUUAACCGGGGAACUGCGUCUGAUACUGGAUGGCUUGAGUAUGGGAGAGGGAUGCGGAAUUCCAGGUGUAGCGGUGAAAUGCGUAGAUAUCUGGAGGAACACCGGUGGCGAAGGCGGCAUCCUGGACCAUUACUGACGCUGAGGAGCGAAAGCCAGGGGAGCAAACGGG